CGGGACACGUGGUAUCCUGUCUGAAUAUGGGGGGACCAUCCUCCAAGGCUAAAUACUCCUGACUGACCGAUAGUGAACCAGUACCGUGAGGGAAAGGCGAAAAGAACCCCGGCGAGGGGAGUGAAAAAGAACCUGAAACCGUGUACGUACAAGCAGUGGGAGCCUCUUUAUGGGGUGACUGCGUACCUUUUGUAUAAUGGGUCAGCGACUUAUAUUCUGUAGCAAGGUUAACCGAAUAGGGGAGCCGAAGGGAAACCGAGUCUUAACUGGGCGUUAAGUUGCAGGGUAUAGACCCGAAACCCGGUGAUCUAGCCAUGGGCAGGUUGAAGGUUGGGUAACACUAACUGGAGGACCGAACCGACUAAUGUUGAAAAAUUAGCGGAUGACUUGUGGCUGGGGGUGAAAGGCCAAUCAAACCGGGAGAUAGCUGGUUCUCCCCGAAAGCUAUUUAGGUAGCGCCUCGUGAAUUCAUCUCCGGGGGUAGAGCACUGUUUCGGCAAGGGGGUCAUCCCGACUUACCAACCCGAUGCAAACUGCGAAUACCGGAGAAUGUUAUCACGGGAGACACACGGCGGGUGCUAACGUCCGUCGUGAAGAGGGAAACAACCCAGACCGCCAGCUAAGGUCCCAAAGUCAUGGUUAAGUGGGAAACGAUGUGGGAAGGCCCAGACAGCCAGGAUGUUGGCU
rnacentral:rRNA from 1 species